rnacentral:rRNA from 1 species
AUUGAACGCUAGCGGGAUGCCUUACACAUGCAAGUCGAACGGAGUGGCGAACGGGUGAGUAAUGUAUCGGAACGUGCCCAGUAGCGGGGGAUAACUACGCGAAAGCGUAGCUAAUACCGCAUACUAUUGGAGCGGCCGAUAUCGGAGUAGCUAGUUGGUGGUGUAAGGGCGCACCAAGGCGACGAUCCCGAGCUGGUUUGAGAGGACGACCAGCCACACUGGGACGGAGACACGGCCCAGACUCCGACGUGAGGCAGCAGUGGGGAAUUUUGGACAAUGGGGGAACCCCUGAUCCAGCCAUCCCGCGUGGGCGAUGAAGGCCUGCGGGUUGUAAAGCUCUUUUGGUAGGAAAGCGUUAACUGCAGAAUAAGCACCGGCUAACUACGUGCCAGCAGCCGCGGUAAUUC